GACGAACGCUGGCGGCGUGCUUAACACAUGCAAGUCGAACGAGGACCUUUAUUUCGGUAAAGAUCCGAGUGGCAAACGGGUGAGUAACGCGUAGGCAACCUGCCAUAGAGAUGGGGACAACAGUCCGAAAGGACUGCUAAUACCGAAUGAACUGUAAGCGUCACAUGGCGCAUACAGCAAAGAUGGCCUCUAUAUAUAAGCUAUCACUCUAUGAUGGGCCUGCGUCUGAUUAGCCAGUUGGCGGGGUAACGGCCCACCAAAGCGACGAUCAGUAGCCGGUCUGAGAGGAUGAACGGCCACAUUGGGACUGAGACACGGCCCAAACUCCUACGGGAGGCAGCAGUGGGGAAUCUUCCACAAUGGACGAAAGUCUGAUGGAGCAACGCCGCGUGAGUGAAGAAGGUCUUCGGAUCGUAAAGCUCUGUUGUCGGGGACGAAUGUAGGGUUCUGGAAUACGGAACUCUAAUGACGGUACCUGACGAGGAAGCCACGGCUAACUACGUGCCAGCCGCCGCCGUAA
rnacentral:rRNA from 1 species